GACGAACGCUGGCGGCGUGCCUAAUACAUGCCAGUCGAGCGAAGUUUUUCUGGUGCUUGCACCGGAAAAACUUAGCGGCGAACGGGUGAGUAACACGUAAAGAACCUGCCUCAUAGACUGGGACAACUAUUGGAAACGAUAGCUAAUACCGGAUAACAGCAUUAACUGCAUGGUUGAUGUUUGAAAGUUGGUUUUGCUAACACUAUGAGAUGGCUUUGCGGUGCAUUAGCUAGUUGGUGGGGUAAAGGCCUACCAAGGCGACGAUGCAUAGCCGACCUGAGAGGGUGAUCGGCCACACUGGGACUGAGACACGGCCCAGACUCCUACGGGAGGCAGCAGUAGGGAAUCUUCCGCAAUGGGCGAAAGCCUGACGGAGCAACGCCGCGUGAGUGAAGAAGGAUUUCGGUUCGUAAAGCUCUGUUGUUAGGGAAGAAUGAUUAUGUAGUAACUAUACAUAGUAGAGACGGUACCUAACCAGAAAGCCACGGCUAACUACGUG
rnacentral:rRNA from 1 species